GGGUUGUGAGGUUAAGCGACUAAGCGUACACGGUGGAUGCCCUGGCAGUCAGAGGCGAUGAAGGGCGUGCUAAUCUGCGAUAAGCGCCGGUAAGGUGAUAUGAACCGUUAUAACCGGCGAUACCCGAAUGGGGAAACCCAGUGUGACUCGUCACACUAUCAUUAACUGAAUCCAUAGGUUAAUGAGGCGAACCGGGGGAACUGAAACAUCUAAGUACCCCGAGGAAAAGAAAUCAACCGAGAUUCCCCCAGUAGCGGCGAGCGAACGGGGAGGAGCCCAGAGCCUGAAUCAGCAUGUGUGUUAGUGGAAGCGUCUGGAAAGGCGCGCGAUACAGGGUGACAGCCCCGUACACAAAAGCGCAUGUGCUGUGAGCUCGAUGAGUAGGGCGGGACACGUGGUAUCCUGUCUGAAUAUGGGGGGACCAUCCUCCAAGGCUAAAUACUCCUGACUGACCGAUAGUGAACCAGUACCGUGAGGGAAAGGCGAAAAGAACCCCGGCGAGGGGAGUGAAAAAGAACCUGAAACCGUGUACGUACAAGCAGUGGGAGCACCCUUUGGGGUGUGACUGCGUACCUUUUGUAUAAUGGGUCAGCGACUUAUAUUCUGUAGCAAGGUUAACCGUAUAGGGGAGCCGUAGGGAAACCGAGUCUUAACCGGGCGUUAAGUUGCAGGGUAUAGACCCGAAACCCGGUGAUCUAGCCAUGGGCAGGUUGAAGGUUGGGUAACACUAACUGGAGGACCGAACCGACUAAUGUUGAAAAAUUAGCGGAUGACCUGUGGCUGGGGGUGAAAGGCCAAUC
rnacentral:rRNA from 1 species